UACGUAGGGUGCGAGCGUUGUCCGGAGUUAUUGGGCGUAAAGAGCUUGUAGGCGGUCUGUCGCGUCUGCUGUGAAAAUCCGGGGCUCAACCCCGGACUUGCAGUGGGUACGGGCAGACUAGAGUGUGGUAGGGGAGACUGGAAUUCCUGGUGUAGCGGUGAAAUGCGCAGAUAUCAGGAGGAACACCGAUGGCGAAGGCAGGUCUCUGGGCCGUAACUGACGCUGAGGAGCGAAAGCGUGGGGAGCGAACAGG
rnacentral:rRNA from 1 species